GACGAACGCUGGCGGCGUGCUUAACACAUGCAAGUCGAACGGUGAAGCGCCUUCCUUUUUGGUGGGUGUGGAUGAGUGGCGAACGGGUGAGUAACACGUGAGUAACCUGCCCCCUUCUUCUGGAUAACCGCAUGAAAGUGUGGCUAAUACGGGAUAUCCUGGGUCUGUCGCAUGAUGGGUCUGGGAAAGAUAUUGUUUCGGUGGGGGAUGGGCUCGGGGCCUAUCAGCUUGUUGGGCGGGUGAUGGCCUACCAAGGCGGUGACGGGUAGCCGGCCUGAGAGGGUGGACGGUCACACUGGGACUGAGACACGGCCCAGACUCCUACGGGAGGCAGCAGUGGAGAAUAUUGCACAAUGGGCGCAAGCCUGAUGCAGCGACGCCGCGUGAGGGAUGGAGGCCUUCGGGUUGUGAACCUCUUUCGCCAGUGAAGCAGGCCUGCCUCGUUUGUGGGUGGGUUGACGGUAGCUGGAUAAGAAGCGCCGGCUAACUACGUG
rnacentral:rRNA from 1 species